UGUAAUUGGAGCGAUGGAUUGUAGCCAUGUGCGUCUGAAGCCACCAUGCAUGAAUGAUUACACAUUUAUCAAUCGCAAAAAUUACCAUUCGAUCAAUUUGCAAGUCAUUUGUGAUGCCAAGCUGGCAUUACUAAAUGUGGUAGCCAAGUGGCUGGGAGGGAUGCACGAUUCUUUUAUACUUCAAAAUAGAAGUGUCUGUGCACGGCUACAGUCAGAGUCAUCUCCUCGGUAAGUGGCCUGAAUAAAUCUGCAAUAGGAUUGAAGCAAAGUCUGAUGUUGUCUGACGUUUCCAUGUAGUUAUUUUUCUAGGUGACAAAGGUUAUGCCCUGACGGAGUACCUGGUAACCCCACUGGCAAACCUGACCACAGAGAGGGAGUGGCAAUUCAUUGCGCACACACGCACAGGUGUCACUGUGGAGCGCUGAUUUGAUCUCCUGAAGGGCAGGUGGUUCUGUCUUGCUCCAGCAGGGGGAAAAUUGCUGUACACACCCGAAAAGGUGUGUGACAUCAAUUUGGCUUGUGCGGUUUUGCUCAACGUGGCGUUGGUAAAUGGCGUGCCAUUGGAUGUGCCGGUGCAAAGAGAGGACGCGAUGCCUAUUGAACCGUGGCAAGGCGACGCUCCACCAGGUGCUGUACUGAUGAGACGGCACCUGACCAACCGCUUCUAAAAUGUUGGUAGGCCUUUAAGUUGAGGAAGUUCUGACUAUUUAACUGAUUUAAUGGCUAAAAUCAGACGAAUUGAAUUAAACUACACUACGGGCCAAAAGUUUGGAAGCAAGGCCAUUACAGGCCGAACAGUUGGAAGUAACUUCAAGUUUUUGAUCACAAUGCUUUUUUUUUAAAUCCAGCAUGAGUUUUAUGUAUUUUGGGAUGUAUUUACUCCAUGAACAGAUGUUGCUUUCAUGGAAAUGCACCAUUUUACUCCAUUUACCUUUAAAUAUACAUUGAUGUCAACAGACCAUGGCUAAAUUUAUGUCAGCAAAAGAUAAUAAGGGCUUAGUUUUAGGGUUGAAAACAUUGGCAAGAGUCACAACUUCAGUGCAAAAGCAAAAAAAACCCAAAUCACAGUUGGAUUAUUCACUUCUCCUUUUUGGCUUUUUUAGAGGCUGCAUACAAAAAUCCUAAUAAAUCUCAACUGCGUUCAAACUAGUGCAGAAAUGGCUAGAAAGAAGCCAUUGAAUAAAGAAACAAAAGUACAGAUUCGUACAUUGAGGACAGAAGGAUACACAGAAAGAGAAAUUGCAAAACGCCUAAAGGUGUUUAACAAAGGAGUCCACUACACUCCGAAGAGACUAGAGGAACCUGGAAGUUAUGAUGAUAGACAAAGGCCUAGAUGAAAGAGAGUUACUACAAAAGCAGAGGAUAAACAUAGCAUUGUCACCAGUAAGAGAGAUCGGUGAAAGACAGCGCCACAAAUAAGGGAGGAAAUCAACAUGACCAGGUUGAAACCCAUAUCUCUGACAACCGUGAAAUGUCGUUUGAGAAAGGCUGGUCUGAAGGGUUGUGUAUCUGCAAAAAACACUACUUCGUCCACAGAACAAGAAAAACAGAUAUGAGUGGGCAAAAGCUCACAAAAAAUGGACUUAUGAUGACUAGAAACACGUUUGCACUUUUUGGUUCAAAACGAAGAGUCUAUGUCCGCAGACAAACUAGUGAACUUCUGAAUGCACCAUGUGUUACACCCCCAAUUCAGCAUGGAGGUGGUAGUUCCAUGGUAUGGGGAUGUUUUGCAGGUGAUGGAGUAGGAGAUUUGUUUGAAUUAAAGGGUAUCAUGAAGAAGGAACAAUACCACUCCAUCCUCCAGCACCAUGCUGUUCCAUCUGGACUCAGACUUGUGGCCCAUAAGUUUGUUUUGCAGCAAGACAAUGACCCUAAGCACUCUGCCAAGUUCUGUCAGGGUUACAUAGACAAAAAAAAGAGGAAGGUGUUCUUCAAAAGAUGGUUUGGCCCCCUCAAUCUCCAGACCUUUCUCAAUUGAGCUUGCGCGGGAUGAAUUGGAUUGAUCGGUCAGAAAAACGCAUCCCACGAAUCAGCAGUCACUUUUUAAUAAAUUUAAGAAAGCUUGAAAUGCAAUCCCUGGAACAUACCUUAGAAAACUUGUGGAACGAAUGCCUGGUACAUGCCAAGCUGUUGUUAAAGCCAGAGGAGGUUACUUUAAAGAAAGCAAAGUCUAAGCAACAAUAACUCAGAUACCUAAUAAUUAUGGUCAAAAUGUCUUCUGAUUAAUUACUCUUUACACAAUAGUCAUGUUUAUUGUGUUGCAAAUUAUAUAUGUGUGAAACUGUGAUCUUUUUUUGUACGAAUCUGCUCUUGCUUCCAAACUUUUGGCCUGUAGUGUAAAUGCUUGAAAUAAAAAAAAUAAAGAUUAUUAUAUUCAAGAAAUUUUAUUUAUUCAAAUUGUCAUUUAUUCUCUGUCAAGUUUCGUUGAUUGCCUCAAGUGAGGUCACAACUGCCGCCAAUAAACGGCAAAUCUCCGUUUGUCUUUCUAGGACCUCCGCAGUGAUAAUGGCCCUUGCAGUACGGGAAGCUGGUACUCGCUCGCCCUCAGUGCUCAGCUGUCUCCGUUCGGGGUCUGGAUCAGUGGGACCGUCCUCAUUGCGCACAGACGUCGCCACCGUGCUGCUGGAGCCUGGCUCUGAAAUCAUAAUUGAGGACAAUAAAAAAUGUGCAAAUGUAAAAA
rnacentral:lncRNA from 1 species